rnacentral:lncRNA from 1 species
GGCGGGGCUCUAAAUAGCCGCGCGCGGAGCCGGGGGCGGGGCGUCCAGCCUGGGGACGGGCUCGUAACCUGGUUUCUCGUGCAGCGACCGCCGGGCUGGCAGUCAGAGCCUUGAAACCACCCCCGGGGGGGGGGGGGUGACCCCAUCCCCUGGGGGCUCUCCUCCUGCUGCUGCUCUCUUUCCUUUGCAUCCAGAAAACUGCGUGGACGACUCAGGCGGGGGGACACAAACAAGUCCCUUGAGAGCACUUUGCUGAGCCCGAACUGCCUGUCCUUCCUCGUCCCGUGGGAGAGCAUAUCACAAGGGAAGAGGCACCGAUAUUAAAAAAGGAGAGAGAGAGAAAAAAAACUUCUUACAAUACAAGCCUAUUUUGGAAAAUGUUUUGAAGCAGUAGAAUGGCACUUGGUGACAUGUCAAUCCAUUCUACAAAGUAAGAGAAAAGACCUUUUUAUGUGCUUCAUGGAAUAACUCUUCAUCAGUAAAUAAUUAACCUCUGACUAAUUGCAGCCAUUAAAAUAUGAACCUUAUUUUGUGUCUCUAUCUCAUUUAAGAUGUAGUAGAAGUAGAAA